rnacentral:lncRNA from 1 species
AUUAAUACACAUGCAUUAGCCAUCACAUUAGCAAGUCUAUAGAUACAUGCCACUCUGUAGCUGAGAAUCAAUUAGAGAUUGAAAGCGAGAUCUGUUUUCGGUGGCCACUGUGCAUCAAUUGAGGAACUUUUUGUGGCUGCUCUCCACCGAAUAGCAAUUGAAUCUCAACAAGAUAGCUGUUGUUUGUGUUGAACCUAUAGCAGAAAGAUGAUGGGCCCUUGAUUGUGCCUGCCAAUAAAAUGCAUCAUCUGUGGUCCAGAAAUCAUGCCCUUCAGUCCUGCAAGCACAAUUAAGCAUCAAACCUCAUCUUCAUUUGUUGAAACAACUUAGCAGCCACUUCAGCUAACAUAGUUCCUCUGCGUAACAUAUUUUACAUUUUUCUGUAAAAGAACUUCACCUUCAACAAUGAUUGUUUGAGAGCAAGCAUGGGCAUCUGAGGAGUAGAAGGAGCAGCAGCAGAGGCGUGGGGAGAGAAGAAUUAGCAGCAGCAGGGUAGCUCGCUCAGGUGUCCAAAACUCCAGACACCAUCGGUCCUGCCGCCGGCCGGUCACCGGAGGCGCCACCGCCGGCGACCAUCUCCCUCACCUUGCGCCCCCCUCUCCUUCUCCUUUCUUCCUCUCUUUCCUAUCUCCCUCACGCCCUGCCUCUCCCUUUCUCUGGAUGAGAAGGACGCCGCCGCCACCGAAG